GCUCAGCUAGCUCAGUCGGUGGAGCGUGAGACUCUUAAAUUCAGGGUCGUGGGUUCAAGCCCCACGCUGGGUG